AUGCCAGACUCCUACGGGAGGCAGCAGUGAGGAAUAUUGGUCAAUGGGCGGAAGCCUGAACCAGCCAAGUCGCGUGAGGGAAGAAGGCCCUGCGGGUCGCAGACCUCUUUGGACGGGGAGCAAGGCCGCCGACGUGUCGGCGGAAGGAGAGUACCCGUAGAACAAGCAUCGGCUAACUCCGUGCCAGCAGCCGCGGUAAUACGGAGGGGGCAAGCGUUAUCCGGAUUCACUGGGCGUAAAGGGAGCGCAGGCGGCACGGCAAGUCUGGUGUGAAAACCCGGGGCUCAACCCCGGGACUGCAUUGGAAACUGCCGGGCUGGAGUGUCGGAGGGGUAAGCGGAAUUCCUAGUGUAGCGGUGAAAUGCGUAGAUAUUAGGAGGAACACCAGUGGCGAAGGCGGCUUACUGGACGAUGACUGACGCUGAGGCUCGAAAGCGUGGGGAGCAAACAGGAUUAGAUACCCGUGUACCA
rnacentral:rRNA from 1 species